AACGAACGCUGGCGGCAUGCCUAACACAUGCAAGUCGAACGAUACCUUCGGGUCUCGUGGCGCACGGCUGCGUAACGCGUGGGAAGCUGCCCUUAGGUUCGGAAUAACUCCCCGAAAGGGGUGCUAAUACCGGAACAUGUCCUCGUACCAAAGAUUUAUCGCCUUUGGAUGGGCCCGCGUUGGAUUAGCUUGUUGGUAGGGUAAAAGCCUACCAAGGCGACGGUCCAUAGCUGGUCUGAGAGGAUGAUCAGCGACACUGGGACUGAGACACGGCCCAGACUCCUACGGGAUGGAGGAGUGGGGAAUACUGGACAAUGGGCGAAAUCCUGAUGCAGCAAGGCUGGGUGAGUGAUGAAGGCCUGAGGGUAGUAAAGCACGUUUACCCGGGAUGAUAAUGACAGUACCGGGAGAAUAAGCGCCGGCUAACUCCGUG
rnacentral:rRNA from 1 species